UAGGGAAUAUUGGGCAAUGGACGGAAGUCUGACCCAGCCAUGCCGCGUGCAGGAAGACGGCCUUACGGGUUGUAAACUGCUUUUGUAUAGGAAGAAAGCGCCCUUGCGAGGGAAUUUGACGGUACUAUACGAAUAAGCACCGGCUAACUCCGUGCCAGCAGCCGCGGUAAUACGGAGGGUGCGAGCGUUGUCCGGAUUUAUUGGGUUUAAAGGGUGCGUAGGCGGUUUAAUAAGUCAGUGGUGAAAUUCUGCAGCUCAACUGUAGGCGUGCCAUUGAUACUGUUAGACUUGAGUACACUAUAGGCAGGCGGAAUUUAUGAUGUAGCGGUGAAAUGCAUAGAUAUCAUAAAGAACCCCGAUAGCGAAGGCAGCUUGCCGGAGUGUAACUGACGCUGAUGCACGAAAGCGUGGGUAGCGAACAGGAUUAGAUACCCCCGUAGUCC
rnacentral:rRNA from 1 species